rnacentral:rRNA from 1 species
UGCAGCAGGCGAGAAACCUUUGCAAUGUGCGAAAGCACGNCAAGGUUAAUCCGAGUGUCUNNNNCUAAAGGAGUCUUUUGUCAGUUGUAGAAUCACUGGUGAAUAAGGGGUGGGCAAGUUCUGGUGUCAGCCGCCGCGGUAAAACCAGCACCUCGAGUGGUCAGGAGGUUUAUUGGGCCUAAAGCAUCCGUAGCCGGUUGCAUAAGUUUNNNGUUAAAUCUAUGCGCUUAACGUAUAGGCCGCCGAAAAUACUGUGCAGCUAGGGAGUGGGAGAGGUACACGGUACUCGAUAGGAAGGGGUAAAAUCCUUUGAUCUAUUGAUGACCACCUGUGGCGAAGGCGGUGUACCAGAACACGUUCGACGGUGAGGGAUGAAAGCUGGGGGAGCAAACCGGAUUAGAUACCCGGGUAGUCCCAGCUGUAAACGAUGCAGACUCGGUGAUGCAUUGGCUUG